CUAUAGAACAGUGAAGGAAGAAAUUAAGGAAGACACAAAUAAAUGAAAACACAUACCAUGUUCAUGGGUUGGAAGAAUUAACAUAAUCAAAAUGUCCAUACUACCCAAAGCAAUUUAUAGAUUCACUGCAAUCCUUAUAAAAAUACCAAAGACAUAUUUCACAGAUAUAGACCAAACAUUUCAAAAAUUUAUAUGGAACCAUAAGUGGCCCUGAAUAGCCUCAACGAUGUUGAUAUUUUAUCUGGAGGUUCUGUUAUUGAAGGCAGAGAACUGAAGUCUUUUACUGUUACUGUAUUGCUGUCCAUCUCUCCCUUCAGUUCUGUCAGUUUCCUUGACAUAUUUAAGUGCUCUGAUGUUGGGUGCAUAUAUAUUUAUCAUUGUUAUAUCUUCCUUGUGAUUGAUAUUUCCUCAUUAUAUAAUGUUCUUCUUGUUUUCUUGUGGUAGUUUUUCACUUAAAGUCUAUUUUGUUCGAUGUACUUGUAAGUAUAGCCACCCUUGAUUUCCAGAAAUCCUGAUGUUAUGUAAGAAGUCGAUCUACACAGAGGCCACCAUAGCUUCACCCAGAGAAGCCAUGUAUAGAUGUUCUAUCCAGCAGUUCCCUCUUAGGUUGGUCUUCUGGCCAAGAUACUAGACAUCUGAAUGAAACCAUCUUGGAUUGUACAGAACACUCUGUCUGCCAGAUGAAUGACAUAUGUCCUCUGUCAAUGGAACAGAUUUCUCCAGGUGCCUUUGACUUUGUGGGUGAGUCUGGAAGCAUUAGCUGCAAAUGCAUGCAUUUGCCUCUCUGGUUGCAUGAUAGAAUGGAAAUGCACAAAGAAGCCAAAGCGAGCAUGUGCUGUUCUGAGGAAUAACUUCCAUGCAGUCUUCAGAUACUAGGUUCCAUUAGAAAGUCAAUACUCCCUCUGCGCUCCCCUUGCUGCCAAUAACUAAAGCUGCCAAUGAAGAGUGAGUUUGUGAUGCAGCCUCCCCACCAUUUCUACCUUUAUUUACUCUGUACUCUGUGUCCUCUGGUUCCUGUCUUUUCUGACCUUUCUAUUAUUUCCCCAAAUAAAGCUUGCCUAUGCAGAAGUGUCCCAUUAA